rnacentral:rRNA from 1 species
UACGUAGGGUCCGAGCGUUGUCCGGAAUUACUGGGCGUAAAGAGCUCGUAGGUGGUUUGUCGCGUUGUUCGUGAAAACUCACAGCUCAACUGUGGGCAUGCGGGCGAUACGGGCAGACUAGAGUACUGCAGGGGAGACUGGAAUUCCUGGUGUAGCGGUGGAAUGCGCAGAUAUCAGGAGGAACACCGGUGGCGAAGGCGGG